GUAAAUCUCUCCCUAACCCACAUGUGAACCUUUAAACCAGGCUGCUUAAACACACUUCCCCGGUUGAUCCGGGGGGUUUGUUGCCGCAGCCGCCCGUUGCUUUUACCGCCCGGUGGCGGUGUUCCGCGCCCCCCUUCCGUUUUACAGUAAGGGUAGGGUGGGUGACGCGGGGCCUGCUACCAAUUAAAGGCGGUAAUAAUUGUUGUGUCCAUGAGCAUUUUCUGAGGAAAGGAUAUUUUAUAACAACUUUCAACAACGGAUCUCUUGGCUCUGGCAUCGAUGAAGAACGCAGCGAAAUGCGAUAAGUAUUGUGAAUUGCAGAAUCCAGUGAAUCAUCGAAUCUUUGAACGCACAUUGCGCCCGCCGGCAUUCCGGCGGGCAUGCCUGUUCGAGCGUCAUUUCAACCCUCAAAUCCCCUAGGAUUUGGUGAUGAGGCGCCCUCUUUCCUCUGAAAGGGGGGGUCUUUAAAUCUAUAGGCGGGCCUUUUAGGACUCUCAGCGCAGUAAACACACUACCGCUGGGUCAGACUUGGAAGGUUUUCUUGCCUCUAAACCCCCUAUUUAUCAAAAGGUUGACCUCGGAUCAGGUAGGAAUACCCGCUGAACUUAAGCAUAUCAAUAAGCGGAGGAAAAGAAACCAACAGGGAUUGCCUCAGUAACGGCGAGUGAAGCGGCAACAGCUCAAAUUUGAAAUCUGGUCCCUCUCGGGGUCCGAGUUGUAAUUUGCAGAGGAUGCUUUCGGCGAGGCGCUGACCGAGUCCCCUGGAAUGGGGCGCCACAGAGGGUGAGAGCCCCGUAUGAUCAGAUGCCGAACCGGUGUAAAGCUCCUUCGACGAGUCGAGUAGUUUGGGAAUGCUGCUCUAAAUGGGAGGUAAAUUUCUUCUAAAGCUAAAUACCGGCCAGAGACCGAUAGCGCACAAGUAGAGUGAUCGAAAGAUGAAAAGCACUUUGAAAAGAGAGUUAAAAAGCACGUGAAAUUGUUGAAAGGGAAGCGCCCAUGACCAGACUUGAUCUCAGGGGAUCAUCCGCCGUUUUCGGCGGUGCACUCCCCUGUGCUUCAGGCCAGCAUCGGUUCUCUCCGGGGGAUAAAAGCGCCGGGAACGUGGCUCUCUUCGGGGAGUGUUAUAGCCCAGCGUACAAUGCUCCGGGGGGGAC
rnacentral:rRNA from 1 species